rnacentral:misc_RNA from 1 species
UUACCGUUGGUGAACCAGCGGUAGGAUCAUUACCAUGAAAAUACCUUUUUAUGCCAACAACCAUUGAGUGCCUUUCGGUCCUUUAAAAGACCCUGGACACUUUGUGAUCACUUGACUUUCUGUCUCGUCUUUUCUUCUUGGUUCUCUGUUCGCUUUCUUGCGCGCGGGGGCACAGGGAGGAAAAGACUGAGAUGGACGCCUUUUCCCCCCUUCGGCUUUUCGGUCGGUUGGGGGAACGGGUAUAUACCAGAUUACGCACUAUUUUUGUUUCUAAGCUGGAGUACCUUUCAUCUUUUUUUUUCACAAGAAAGGAAUAACACAAAUAACUAAAACAAAAACAACUUUUAACGGUGGAUCUCUAGGUUCGUGCAUAGAUGAAGAACGCAGC